UUUGUGUUAAUUAAAUAAUCUAGAGCUAACUAAAAAAAAUUUUCCCCCACAGAAACAGCAUUUAAAUUUAAAGCCCUAAAGAAGGUUGCACAGUUAGCAGUUAUAAAUAGUCUGGAAAAGGCCUUUUGGAACUGGGUAGAAAAUUAUCCAGAUGAGUUUACAAAACUUUACCAGAUUCCACAGACUGAUAUGGCUGAGUGUGCAGAAAAACUCUUUGACUUGGUGGAUGGUUUUGCUGAAAGCACCAAACGUAAAGCAGCAGUUUGGCCACUACAGAUCAUUCUUCUUAUUUUAUGUCCAGAAAUAAUCCAGGAUAUAUCUAAGGAUGUGGUUGAUGAAAACAACAUGAAUAAGAAAUUAUUUCUGGACAGUCUACGAAAAGCACUUGCUGGCCAUGGAGGAAGCAGGCAGCUGACAGAGAGUGCUGCAAUUGCUUGUGUCAAAUUGUGUAAAGCAAGUACUUACAUCAAUUGGGAAGACAACUCUGUCAUUUUCCUACUGGUUCAGUCCAUGGUGGUUGAUCUUAAGAACCUGCUUUUUAAUCCAAGUAAACCAUUCUCAAGAGGCAGUCAGCCUGCAGACGUGGAUCUAAUGAUUGAUUGCCUUGUUUCUUGCUUUCGUAUAAGCCCUCAUAACAACCAACACUUUAAGAUCUGCCUGGCUCAGAAUUCACCUUCUACAUUUCACUAUGUACUAGUAAAUUCACUCCAUCGAAUCAUCACCAAUUCUGCAUUAGAUUGGUGGCCCAAAAUUGAUGCUGUAUAUUGUCACUCAGUUGAACUUCGAAACAUGUUUGGUGAAACACUUCAUAAAGCAGUGCAGGGUUGUGGAGCACACCCAGCAAUACGAAUGGCACCGAGUCUUACAUUUAAAGAAAAAGUAACAAGCCUUAAAUUUAAAGAAAAACCUACGGAUGUGGAGACAAGAAGUUAUAAGUAUCUUCUCUUGUCCAUGGUGAAACUAAUUCAUGCAGAUCCAAAGCUUUUACUUUGUAAUCCAAGAAAACAGGGGCCCGAAACCCAAGGCAGUACAGCUGAAUUAAUUACAGGGCUCGUCCAACUGGUCCCUCAGUCGCACAUGCCAGAGAUUGCUCAGGAAGCAAUGGAGGCUUUGCUGGUUCUUCAUCAGUUAGAUAGCAUUGAUUUGUGGAAUCCUGAUGCUCCUGUAGAAACAUUUUGGGAGAUUAGGUAUAUGUACUUUUAAUUUUUAAAUGCAAUUUAAACUUUUAAUUUUAG
rnacentral:lncRNA from 1 species